rnacentral:rRNA from 1 species
UAAGGAAUAUUGGACAAUGGAGGCAACUCUGAUCCAGCCAUGCCGCGUGAAGGAAUAAGGCCCUAUGGGUUGUAAACUUCUUUUAGACGGGACAAAACCCCUUUACGUGUAAAGGGUUGAUGGUACUGUCAGAAUAAGCAUCGGCUAACUUCGUGCCAGCAGCCGCGGUAAUACGAAGGAUGCAAGCGUUAUCCGGAAUUAUUGGGUUUAAAGGGUGCGUAGGCGGACUAAUAAGUCAGUGGUGAAAGCCUGCAGCUUAACUGCAGAAUUGCCAUUGAUACUGUUAAUCUUGAGUACAGUUGAGGUAGGCGGAAUGUGUCAUGUAGCGGUGAAAUGCUUAGAUAUGACACAGAACACCGAUUGCGAAGGCAGCUUGCUAAGCUGUAACUGACGCUGAGGCACGAAAGCGUGGGGAGCAAACA